AACAUAUACUACUAGACUUGGAUAUAAUCUGAAUAAGAUUACUUAAUAUGAUCUGACUGUAAUAUGAGGAUCGUAAGUUUGGAGAGGUUAAUAAUAAUUAAAUAAGUUAAAUUUUAAAUCUGUAUGGGAAGUUACUAGUAGGAUUAAAACUACUGACUACUUUGUAAGUAGGAUAAUUACUGACUGUUAGUAGGAUAAUUAUUAUAUCCACAAAUCACGUUGAUGGAAUGUGAAAACAUAACUGUCUAUUUCCUGUAUUAUAAAAGGGGUCCUCUUUCUGCCAAAAGAAGAAUAAAUUUCAUCAAAUAUUAUUCUGAAACGUAAGGUAAAGAGAGAGAAACAAUACUUUUGUUUUGUGCUUCUGCUAAACUCAAUCAGCAAGAAAACUAUGGAGAAUUCAGGCCAGCAAUAUGCUUGAGCUGCCCUUGAUUCCGACAGCCAUGGUCAAAUGAUGAGGCCUUCGGCUUAUUCUUCCACCAUACCAUUUUCUCACUCUACUCAAAAUAAUCAUAUGAUGACGGGCCAACACCACGGUGGACAUUAUGGAAACCAUGGCCAUAGCCAUAGCCAUUAUGGAAGUCAUGGUAGUUAUCAAGGGCAUAUGCCACAUGAUUCAACCAACUUCUCAAGAAGCACCACCAAUAUGGUCCAUAGUGAUGGCUAUGGUAGUGGGAUGCAACAAUCUUCCCAUGCCCAUAUGUCGUCUAUGGCCACGGGACAUCAUGGUCAUGGUCAUGGACAUGGUUAUGGUGGCAGCCACCAAAA